CACGGGGGAGCGGGCUGGGUGCUACUGGGAGACCAGGUCCUGAAGCAGUUAAAGAUCCAAGUCUCCCAGGUCAGGUCCGCCCCAGCCCCAGAGGCUUCAAGGGGCCAAAGGACUGUGGGGAGUCUGAGGACGUUUCUCUAGGAGACAGACCGGGCGGAGCUGGGAGUUCGGCGGUUUGUAUUGGUGCCGAAAACAGUACUCAGCUAUGGCUCGGAGCUUCAGCAGUAAAGACUUGUCUGCCAAGGCGGGAUUAGAUCCGUCGGCUCAAGAGCUCCGUCCCCCACCUUCCCCUACCCAGCGAGGGCCGUGAGGGCGCCAGGGAUGCUUGGGGAGCUCUGCUCGGUUUCCAGUCGCGCACCGGGUCUCCGCGCACCACGUGCGCCCAAGGCCUCAGGAAUCUUUAGAAACAUCCCGAUUUGAGGGGCCUCCAUGUGAGAGCAGAUGAUAGGCGGAGGCCAUGGUCUCCUGAGCUUUGCAGAGGAAGAGCAGCUGCAGAGGGGCUGGUGCGUCUGAAAAGCCCCUUCGAGAAACAUGCACAGAGCCGGGUCACAGGCACAAAUCUGAGAUGGGACAGAGGCAGACUGUGCAAUUAUAUUUCAGCAUCAUGAGUUCCCAGAUUCUGAGCAAAGAAUUUUGUGGUCCCUUUCCUUUUAAAAAUGCAAAAUAACCCUCUUUUCAUCACAGAAGCCAUCUUCUACACCUUUUGUGGGACCUCCUGCAAAAAGCAGCAGAGUUUGCUCUGUUUCUUUUAAAAAUAAAGUACUAAAGUGUCGUGCUGGAAAUUAUGCUACUAAGUGUUACAUGUGGUCUGGAGGACGCACUGAAGCGUUCUCCCAUCAUGCAAGGGAGAAAACGAAGCUCUCUACUGGCCUCUAUCGGAGAAGCUAAAAAUUUCCCUCUCUUUCCUGCAAGUUUCCCAAACAUCACGAUUCUGAUUUCCAGGUCAGAGAGUAAGGUUGUAUUCUUUGCAUAUGGAGAGUCCCUGGAACUGCAUUGUGAUGGGCUAAUUAUUAUGAACCUAUUGUGAGCAAGGCCAGGCCCUGGGUGUGGCAGAAGAAACUCAACACACCUGCUCAAUGAUCUGCGGGCCCCAAGUGCUCCUGAUGAACAGCUCCCUCCCUGCAGCCUGGAGUUGGUGAGCAGACUCUUUCUUUGGGCUGAGCCAGUUCCCAUGAUUUUUAAGGGAUUGGGGCAAGGACCCAAUAUUUAAGAGGACUGGAAAGCUGUAUGUGGCAUUUCUGAUUUCAUUCCUAAGUGGUAGUUCCCUUAAGUAUGUGGAAAAUAAAUUUUGCUAAAAUUUU